AUUGAACGCUGGCGGCAUGCCUUACACAUGCAAGUCGAACGGCAGCACGGGGGCGAACCCUCGGUGGCGAGUGGCGAACGGGUGAGUAAUACAUCGGAACGUGCCCGGUAGUGGGGAGUAGCUCGGCGAAAGCCGGAUUAAUACCGCAUACGACCUGCGGGUGAAAGCGGGGGAUCGCAAGACCUCGCGCUAUCGGAGCGGCCGAUGUCAGAUUAGGUUGUUGGUGGGGUAAAGGCCACCAAGCCGACGAUCUGUAGCUGGUCUGAGAGGACGACCAGCCACACUGGGACUGAGACACGGCCCAGACUCCUACGGGAGGGCAGCAGUGGGGAAUUUUGGACAAUGGGCGCAAGCCUGAUCCAGCCAUGCCGCGUGCGGGAAGAA
rnacentral:rRNA from 1 species